AGUCAGCAGGAGAAGUGAACC
rnacentral:piRNA from 1 species